rnacentral:rRNA from 1 species
UAGAUACCCUGGUAGUCCACGCCGUAAACGAUGGAUACUAGAUGCAGGGGGUAUUCACUCCCUCUGUGUCGCAGCUAACGCAAUAAGUAUCCCGCCUGGGGAGUACGGCCGCAAGGUUGAAACUCAAAGGAAUUGACGGGGGCCCGCACAAGCAGCGGAGCAUGUGGUUUAAUUCGAUGCAACGCGAAAAACCUUACCAAGACUUGACAUCGUAUGACCGCCAUGGAAACAUGGCUUCUCUUCGGAGCAUGCAGACAGGUGGUGCAUGGUUGUCGUCAGCUCGUGUCGUGAGAUGUUCGGUUAAGUCCGAUAACGAGCGCAACCCUUAUUACUAGUUGCCAAUAUUAAGUUAGGAACUCUAGUGAGACUGCCGUGGAUAACACGGAGGAAGGUGGGGAUGACGUCAAAUCAUCAUGCCCCUUACGUCUUGGGCUACACACGUGCUACAAUGGCUGUUACAAAGAGCUGCAAACCCGUAAGGGCAAGCGAAUCUCAAAAAGGCAGUCUCAGUUCGGAUUGUGGGCUGCAACCCGCCCACAUGAAGUCGGAGUUGCUAGUAAUCCCGAAUCAGCAUGUCGGGGUGAAUGCGUUCCCGGGCCUUGUACACACCGCCCGUCACGCCAUGGGAGUUGGUAAUACCCAAAGUCGGUGCGCUAACCGCAAGGAGGCAGCCGCCUAAGGUAGGAUCAAUGACUGGGGUGAAGUCGUAACAAGGUAGCAGUACCGGAAGGUGCGGCUG